rnacentral:lncRNA from 1 species
UUUUGGCGUGCAACGUAGGGACUUGAGAAGCGGUCAUCAAACUCCAAGUGGCCAUGCAACCAGAGCCUCUGAUGAUGGCCCCUUCUGCUGGGAACCUUACACAGGCCUCUGAGGGAGCUUUAACUGCCGUUUCCCCAAAACAGCACCCCUGUCAGCAGGAAGCAGUUAAGAUCGGUCUUCAUACUUAUCCUUAUUCUAAGGGCAGUUGGAUGUGCUUCUUUAGAGGGGCGAAUGAGGCAGCCAAGUGGGAGGGGG